rnacentral:lncRNA from 1 species
CGGGGAGACCGCGUUUAGAGGAUCAGUGGCGGCGGGCCCGCGCGGUGCCAGCGACUAGCAGAGAGAUGUCUUGGCCCCUUCCAGGUUUGGAGAUGGCCUUGGGGGAGCAACCUCCGGACCUCAGCAGUGUGAGGAUGACGACAACAGUACCCUGGGGUGCUGUCCCCACUCAGGGUUUCUCUGUGUAGCCCUGACUGUCCUGCAACUCACUCUGCAGACCAGGCUGGCCUCGAACUCAGAGAUCUACCUGCCUUUGCCUCUGGAGUACUGGGAUUAAAGAUGCAGAGGCCUCCCAGUGAAGUGUGAAGGGAUGGGCCUUAACCAGGGUUGAAGAAAGAAAGUGAAGAAGGGGAGAGCCCAAGGAAAGGUGGGGACAGUUGGAACUUCUGAUUACACUCUUCUGGUCUACUUCUCAUGUAUCAUAUGCUAUAAUCUCCAAAUUCCAUAUUUAUUGUAGCAGUCUGCGGUGUGUAUGCCCCGGCCGCAUGCUGCUUGGCUAAAAAAGUGUUAAAUAAAACUGUAAGAAACGAUA